AGUUUGAUCAUGGCUCAGGAUGAACGCUAGCGGGAGGCUUAACGCAUGCAAGUCGAGGGGUAUAAGUAGCAAUAUUUAGAGACCGGCGCACGGGUGAGUAACGCGUAUGCAACCUGCCCUUUACAGGGGGAUAGCCCGUAGAAAUGCGGAUUAAUACCCCAUAGUAUUAUUGGAUCGCAUGGUUUGAUAGUUAAAGUUUCGGCGGUAAAGGAUGGGCAUGCGUGACAUUAGCUAGUUGGAGAGGUAACGGCUCACCAAGGCUACGAUGUCUAGGGGUUCUGAGAGGAAGAUCCCCCACACUGGUACUGAGACACGGACCAGACUCCUACGGGAGGCAGCAGUGAGGAAUAUUGGUCAAUGGGCGAGAGCCUGAACCAGCCAUCCCGCGUGCAGGAAGAAUGCCCUAUGGGUUGUAAACUGCUUUUUCGCAUGAAGAACACUCCGGACGUGUCUGGAGCUGACGGUAAUGCGUGAAUAAGCACCGGCUAACUCCGUGCCAGCAGCCGCGGUAAUACGGAGGG
rnacentral:rRNA from 1 species